rnacentral:rRNA from 1 species
AGUGAAUAGAUACCCGGGUAGUCCUAGCCGUAAACGAUACUCGCUAGGUGUCGGCCACGGUGCGACCGUUGUCGGUGCCGUAGGGAAAGCCGUGAAGCGAGCCACCUGGGAAGUACGGCCGCAAGGCUGAAACUUAAAGGAAUUAGCGGGGGAGCACCACAACGGGUGGAGCUUGCGGUUUAAUUGGAUUCAACGCCGGAAAUCUUACCGGGACCGACAGCAAUAUGAAGGCCAGGCUGAAGACUUUGCCGGAUUAGCUGAGAGGUGGUGCAUGGCCGUCGUCAGUUCGUACUGUGAAAGCAUCCUGUUAAGUCAGGCAACGAGCGAGACCCACGCCCACAGUUGCCAGCGUACUCUCCGGAGUGACGGGUACACUGUGGGGACCGCCGCUGCUAAAGCGGAGGAAGGAAUGGGCAACGGUAGGUCAGUAUGCCCCGAAUAUCCCGGGCUACACGCGAGCUACAAUGGUUGGUACAAUGGGUAUCCACCCCGAAAGGGGAUGGUAAUCUCCUAAAUCCAAUCUUAGUCCGGAUUGAGGGCUGCAACUCGCCCUC